rnacentral:pre_miRNA from 1 species
GAUCAUGCACCACUACAAGUUGAAGCUGCCAGCAUGAUCUUAACUUUCCCUCUCCUAUGAUUUGUUGGGGUGAGAUCAGAUCAUGUGGCAGUUUCACCUAGUUGUUGGAAGCAUGAAU